GACGAACGCUGGCGGCGUGCCUAAUACAUGCAAGUCGAACGCUUCUUUCCUCCCGAGUGCUUGCACUCAAUUGGAAAGAGGAGUGGCGGACGGGUGAGUAACACGUGGGUAACCUACCCAUCAGAGGGGGAUAACACUUGGAAACAGGUGCUAAUACCGCAUAACAGUUUAUGCCGCAUGGCAUAAGAGUGAAAGGCGCUUUCGGGUGUCGCUGAUGGAUGGACCCGCGGUGCAUUAGCUAGUUGGUGAGGUAACGGCUCACCAAGGCCACGAUGCAUAGCCGACCUGAGAGGGUGAUCGGCCACACUGGGACUGAGACACGGCCCAGACUCCUACGGGAGGCAGCAGUAGGGAAUCUGCGGCAAUGGACGAAAGUCUGACCGAGCAACGCCGCGUGAGUGAAGAAGGUUUUCGGAUCGUAAAACUCUGUUGUUAGAGAAGAACAAGGACGUUAGUAACUGAACGUCCCCUGACGGUAUCUAACCAGAAAGCCACGGCUAACUACGUG
rnacentral:rRNA from 1 species